AGAUAUCUUUGGGCUGGCCAAUCGCGUGUGGGGCAUCGGAGGUCCCUGGUUGGCGUGAACGCGUGCGCGACCGACCGAGCCGCCGUUCCCCAUCCCUCGAUUCCUCUCCCUCCCCUCGUCUUCCGCCGUCGCUGCCACCGGCGACCUCCCCACAGCAGCUGCCGCCACCGGCGACCUCCCCCACGGCUGAUGCUCCCACCCCUUCUAUCCUUCCUUUACCUUCCCUCACCAUCGACGACCUCCUCCCCUCCCCCCUGCCCCAAAUUGAGCAGCAGGCCCAGAUCCAACGCAGGCUCAGAUCCGGCACGCUCAUAACCCUGGUUCGUCUUGAGGACACUAUGGACAAGAUGCUCUGGGCCUAGUGAUGCAGCCAUGGACAAGGACUCAUGUGGUCGUCGAUUACAAGGGUGUCUCAGGGGGUUAAAGAAGUUGUGUUCUUACAGAUUUGAGCUGAAAGUAAUUCAAAAUAGGAGGCCGGAAGGGAUCUUAUACUACGAUGAGCGUUUUCUUCAAUCAUACCAAAAUGCAUGAAAAAUAUAGCUGUGGUUGUUGGUCUGAUUUAAAUGAGAAUUUAAAUAUUUCUUGCUUGGUUAUUCCAGUUAUGUUACAAUAUUUGAUUUUCGUAGCUCAGGAUGUCGAUUCACAUUGUCUUAAUUCCUGUAUGCUGGUUUCUUUCUACCCCUUGACAGGGAGAUCCAGGAAGGAGGUGACCGUCUCCCACGGCGUCGCAUCGUCAUGAGGAGGACGAAAGUGAGCAUGGGCUGUAGGCUGGUGACAUACAUACUGGUUAAGGGUGGAUAUAUGUGAUUUGUGUGCCGUGUCGGUUCCAGGUAGCACAAUGUUUCAGACUCAGAGCAAAGGAAAAAGCUGAUCAAUAGGUUUCAGCCAUGGUUAGCCUCUCUUCCAAUUUUUUGAUGUGAGUUUUUAGCCUUACUUUUUCUGGCAAUGGAUGCAGAUUAGCUUGGUGGCCUGCAUCUAUAUUUCUUUAUAGUUUUUUUUGUGUUGUUUGGCUAAUAAUUCUGCUCUGUAUCAUCUCCAAACAAGGGUUAGUUAGCUAUCUUUAGAUCUUUUUUGGUACACAAACACUGCAUGUAUUUGUACGUAUAGCAGGAUUUGAAUCCGUUUUGUAUCUACAUGGCAGAACUACCACUCAAAUUAGUGUCUUUUAUUUCUUCAUCAAGAAAAGGUUUGUUCUCUCAGUUUCCUCCAAGUCCAAGUUCAGUUUGAACUGUCUAAACAGGGAUUUACAGAUUGUAUAUUCUUUGCCCACUUGCUAUUUUUUUGCUAAUGCCGUCAUUGUGAUUAGCAAAAGUAGGAUUUUUAUAUGCUUGGUUACUCUUUAGAUUACGAUGUUGAAGACACAGCUUUACCUCUUCAACCAUCUGAACUAUGCUGCACCAGAACUGGUCCCUAGUGGUGAUUCUAAAGUAGGCUUUUCCUGUGACAUAUUUAGUUUUGGAUUGCCAUAAUAAUGUGAAAAUGGUAUCUGUUUUAAUCUGGCACAUGCUUUGUCAAAAUAUAAUGUAUUUAAUCUGGACUUCGCUCUACCUUUGACAUAUGCUACAGCUGCAUAUGCAGAAAACAUACUGACAUGUCCCCCUGUAAUUGCAGUAUAUGAAUUCAUUGACAUAUUUAACAAGUGAAGCCUUUUCUAAUAUUCCUACUCAUCUGGUGGUUGAUUUGCAAAAGAUGCUCUCAGUUGACAGCGGCGGCGGACAGCGCUGGGCGGCACGCCCAUCAGUGCCCGUGUGCCCCGACCGGUGCGGACUGCUUGCGUAGGGCCACAUCAGCUGGUUGCUCAAGCCUGCGUGUGGACUGCCCGCUAAGAUUGAUUUCCAGCUCAUCUCCAUGGGUUCCCUGAGGUGAGCGCGAUGCCGAGGAGAGAUGGCGUCGAGGACGACAUCUGAGGACAUCAUCACGCUCAUGGCUCCGCCGCCAUCGUCAUCGAGUUUUUUGGUUUCACAGCAAACAGGUGUGCGACGGGCCGGCAACCAGCGGCGCCAUCUCUAUCCCUGACACUAGAUAAUAGCGUGGCUAAUGGCCCGCGCGCGGCGCGCCUGUCUGUGCCCGUGCGCUCAGGCUGAUGCGGACUGCGACUGCGCGUAGGGCCGCCGCAGCUGCAUGCUCAAGGCGGCGUGCGGACUGCCUGAGAAACACUGACUUUGUUAUCCAAGACCAGUGGUUACGCUCUUGGGUCAAUAUUCAGGAUAAUCACCAUUAAUUAAGCAACCACACCUACAAUAAUGUCAUCCGGUGGAAUCACGUGUUGCUGCUAAUCAGGAUCUAAGACGACACAUAUCACACUUCUGCCCGUCAUCCUAAUUUUGGUGCUUUUUUAGAGGUGUGGGAUUGGGCAGUGGUGAGCUUGGCUCUCAUAUCAGGUUUCUCGUCUACAUUAAUCUUGAUGUUGGGAAGCAGUCAAUGGGUGAUUACCGAACGUGUCGGAACUUCCAAGCAAAUGUCUCUCUGUGGCUAAAAUAAAUCUUAUUUCCCCUCAAGUUACUAAACUGCAAUGGGUAGUUGGUCGGUCGCUGUCAAUUGAAUGUGGGAAUUGAAAUGUCUUGCCGUUUUACAAUUCUUGUUUUGCUUCACAAUCUUCUCUGUUAAAUAGACCUGUUAGUAUCUAUGAAACUACUACGCUUGCUUUGCUUUAUGAAUGAACACUUGUCUCCUGCA